rnacentral:rRNA from 1 species
CCUUGAAAUACCACCCUUUGAUGUUUGAUGUUCUAACGUGGACCCGUUACCCGGGUUGCGGACAGUGUCUGGUGGGUAGUUUGACUGGGGCGGUCUCCUCCUAAAGAGUAACGGAGGAGCACGAAGGUUGGCUAAUCCUGGUCGGACAUCAGGAGGUUAGUGCAAUGGCAUAAGCCAGCUUGACUGCGAGCGUGACGGCGCGAGCAGGUGCGAAAGCAGGUCAUAGUGAUCCGGUGGUUCUGAAUGGAAGGGCCAUCGCUCAACGGAUAAAAGGUACUCCGGGGAUAACAGGCUGAUACCGCCCAAGAGUUCAUAUCGACGGCGGUGUUUGGCACCUCGAUGUCGGCUCAUCACAUCCUGGGGCUGAAGUAGGUCCCAAGGGUAUGGCUGUUCGCCAUUUAAAGUGGUACGCGAGCUGGGUUUAGAACGUCGUGAGACAGUUCGGUCCCUAUCUGCCGUGGGCGCUGGAGAACUGAGGGGGGCUGCUCCUAGUACGAGAGGACCGGAGUGGACGCAUCACUGGUGUUCGGGUUGUCAUGCCAAUGGCACUGCCCGGUAGCUAAAUGCGGAAGAGAUAAGUGCUGAAAGCAUCUAAGCACGAAACUUGCCCCGA